rnacentral:rRNA from 1 species
UACAGAGGGUGCAAGCGUUAAUCGGAGUUACUGGGCGUAAAGGGCGCGUAGGCGGUUUUGAAAGUAAGAUGUGAAAUCCCUGGGCUUAACCUAGGAACAGCAUUUUAAACUGCAAGACUAGAGAGCAGUAGAGGGUGGCGGAAUUUCCGGUGUAGCGGUGAAAUGCGUAGAGAUCGGAAGGAACAUCAGUGGCGAAGGCGGCCACCUGGACUGAGUCUGACGCUGAGGCGCGAGAGCGUGGGGAGCAAACAGG